UACGAAGGGGGCUAGCGUUGUUCGGAAUCACUGGGCGUAAAGCGCACGCAGGCGGAUUGAUAAGUCAGGGGUGAAAUCCCGGAGCUCAACUUCGGAAUUGCCUUUGAUACUGUCUGUCUUGAGUCCGGGAGAGGUGAGUGGAAUUCCCGGUGUAGAGGUGAAAUUCGUAGAUAUCGGGAGGAACACCGGUGGCGAAGGCGGCGACCUGGGUAGAUACUGACGCUGAGGUGCGAAAGCGUGGGGAGCAAACAAG
rnacentral:rRNA from 1 species